UCCUACGGGAGGCAGCAGUGGGGAAUAUUGGACAAUGGGCGAAAGCCUGAUCCAGCCAUGCCGCGUGUGUGAAGAAGGUCUUCGGAUUGUAAAGCACUUUAAGUUGGGAGGAAGGGCAGUAAGCUAAUACCUUGCUGUUUUGACGUUACCGACAGAAUAAGCACCGGCUAACUCUGUGCCAGCAGCCGCGGUAAUACAGAGGGUGCAAGCGUUAAUCGGAAUUACUGGGCGUAAAGCGCACGCAGGCGGUCUGUCAAGUCGGAUGUGAAAUCCCCGGGCUCAACCUGGGAACUGCAUUCGAAACUGGCAGGCUAGAGUCUUGUAGAGGGGGGUAGAAUUCCAGGUGUAGCGGUGAAAUGCGUAGAGAUCUGGAGGAAUACCGGUGGCGAAGGCGGCCCCCUGGACAAAGACUGACGCUCAGGUGCGAAAGCGUGGGGAGCAAACAGGAUUAGAUACCCUGGUAGUCCAUGCCGUAAACGAUGUCUACUAGCCGUUGGGGCCUUUGAGGCUUUAGUGGCGCAGCUAACGCGAUAAGUAGACCGCCUGGGGAGUACGGUCGCAAGACUAAAACUCAAAUGAAUUGACGGA
rnacentral:rRNA from 1 species